ensembl:lncRNA LINC00578 long intergenic non-protein coding RNA 578
GGAAUCUGGUGGCUUAAACCUAGCUGUCCACAUUUCACUAUCUGAAGAGCAGAAAAUGUGUUAAUAGGAGCCUGGUGAGUGGAGGAGACUGAAGAUGGAGAGAGAGCCUGGACCUCAACAUGAGCAUCUGGAGCCAUUUGGCAGCAUUAGGCUGUGACCGCUUAGAGAACCGAAAGGUGCAGAGCUUUAAAGGAUUAUGGAGUCUGAAGACCAAAUGGGAUGAUGGAGAACAGCUAUUCAGUGGUACAAAUGUAAAUGCUCCCAGGCCCGGGCAGAAACACCACCUGGAACACAGCUGUGACUUGAUAAACAAGUGAAACAUUCUUUGGUGUGGUGAGGGGAAAACAAAUUUCUCAAAGGACACGCACCAUGGUGUAUGAGAGGACACUGGAGCCCAGCCAGCAUCUGACAUGCUGAAUUCAAAGUGCAGGUGAAAGUAGGACAACUGAUUCACAAGCUGGGAUGCCUGUGUUGUUGUUUGCCAGUGUGCGUGUGUGUGUUUUCCUGGCACCCUUCAUUCAUUCCCCAGCACAGUUGACAUCAGGUUGGAAGCAGUGAGUUCUGAGGGAGACUGCUAGAGGACCCAACUUGGAGAAUCAACGAUCUGCGAUGAAGAUAAUGAAGAUAAAGACAAUGUCAAUGUCAGCGUCCAAAAUCAUAAGGACCCUUUAAGAAGCUUCCAGAGCAGAAGUGACUGUGCAAGAAGGGCCAAUAAAGUCUAGGCAAUGCACGACCAGGCGCGGUCGCUCACGCCUGUAAUCCCAGCACUUUGGGAGGCCGAGGUGGUUGGAUUACCUGAGGUUAGGAGUUUGAGACCAGCCUGACCAACAUAGUUUCACCCCAUCUCUACUAAAAAAAAAAAAAAAAACAAAACAA